rnacentral:rRNA from 1 species
UGCCCUAGUAACGGCGAGUGAAGCGGCAACAGCUCAAAUUUGAAAUCUGGCUUCGGCCCGAGUUGUAAUUUGUAGAGGAUGCUUUUGGCGCGGUGCCUUCUGAGUUCCCUGGAACGGGACGCCAUAGAGGGUGAGAGCCCCGUAUAGUUGGACACCAAGCCUUUGUAAAGCUCCUUCGACGAGUCGAGUAGUUUGGGAAUGCUGCUCAAAAUGGGAGGUAAAUUUCUUCUAAAGCUAAAUACCGGCCAGAGACCGAUAGCGCACAAGUAGAGUGAUCGAAAGAUGAAAAGCACUUUGAAAAGAGGGUUAAAUAGCACGUGAAAUUGUUGAAAGGGAAGCGCUUAUGACCAGACUUGUUCCCGGUUGAUCAUCCAGUGUUCUCACUGGUGCACUCUGCCGGGGUCAGGCCAGCGUCGGUUCUCGCAGGGGGAUAAAAGCUUCGGGAACGUGGCUCCUCCGGGAGUGUUAUAGCCCGUUGCACAAUACCCUUGUGGGGACCGAGGUUCGCGCUCUGCAAGGACGCUGGCGUAAUGGUCAUCAGCGACCCGUCUUGAAACACGGACCAAGGAGUCGAGGUUUUGCGCGAGUGUUUGGGUGUAAAACCCGCACGCGUAAUGAAAGUGAACGUAGGUGAGAGCUUCGGCGCAUCAUCGACCGAUCCUGAUGUAUUCGGAUGGAUUUGAGUAAGAGCGUAUAGCCUCGGACCCGAAAGAUGGUGAACUAUGCCUGUAUAGGGUGAAGCCAGAGGAAACUCUGGUGGAGGCUCGCAGCGGUUCUGACGUGCAAAUCGAUCGUCAAAUAUGGGCAUGGGGCGAAAGACUAAUCGACC